UUUUGGACAAUGGGCGCAAGCCUGAUCCAGCCAUGCCGCGUGAGUGAAGAAGGCCUUCGGGUUGUAAAGCUCUUUCGGUGAAGACGAAACGGUUAGUGCUAAUAACACUGACUAAUGACGGUACUCACAGAAGAAGCACCGGCUAACUACGUGCCAGCAGCCGCGGUAAUACGUAGGGUGCAGGCGUUAAUCGGAAUUACUGGGCGUAAAGCGUGCGCAGGCGGUUUGCUAAGACAGGUGUGAAAUCCCCGAGCUUAACUUGGGAAUUGCGCUUGUAACUGGCAAGCUAGAGUGUGGCAGAGGGGGGUGGAAUUCCACGUGUAGCAGUGAAAUGCGUAGAUAUGUGGAGGAACACCGAUGGCGAAGGCAGCCCCCUGGGCCGGCACUGACGCUCAUGCACGAAA
rnacentral:rRNA from 1 species